UUUACCUAAUCAAGCCUGGGCAAUGGCGGGUGCCCCUCCUCCAGCCUCGCUGCCGCCUUGCAGUUUGAUCUCAGACUGCUGUGCUAGCAAUCAGCGAGACUCCGUGGGCGUAGGACCCUCUGAGCCAGGUGUGGGAUAUAAUCUCGUGGUGCGCCGUUUUUUAAGCCCGUCGGAAAAGCACAGUAUUCGGGUGGGAGUGACCCGAUUUUCCAGUUUCAAACAUCUUCAAGGCAGAAACGUGUUGUAUUUGCAUGCUGUUUAGAAGGCAGUGUACUGAAUAGUACCAGUUUUUUCAGAGACAAAUAUGGUGUACUUAUUUGAAAAGAAAGGAUGAUACACAUACAUAGCCAUCCAAAAAAUCCUGCAACCAGUAGCAAAUUAUAUUACACAUUGGACACAUCCUAAAUGAUGCAAGGUUGCUAAUUCUCUCUGUUGGUAAUAUCUUUUGAUGCUGUUGUGUCCAGAAUUGAUUCAUUCCUGUGGGUUCUUGGUCUCACUGACUUCAAGAAUAAAGCUGCGGACCCUAGUGUUUCCUGAGGCCUCACUAGAAGCAAAUGCUGGUGCCGUACUUCUUGUACAGCCUGCAAAACUUUGCAGUAUCUAAAUAAAUAUAAGGAAGAGUUCCCUGUUACCUACCCGUCAUCAAGAAAAAUCAGAAUUUGUUGGACAACAUCAUCUUAAGUCUGAAGGAUUCCACUUCUACGGUAUAAAAUAAACAGCGAUACUUUAAUUAAUUUUCAUUAAUUAAUUAAAAAGGAGGAAAAGAUAAUGAGUCACAUAAACACUAAAGGCAUUUAUUUAAGCACAUUAUUCUUGGGACACCUUGCUCUUCACUAGACUGUGAGCUGAGAGUCAUCACUUACACUUAAUUUUGAAAUGACAAUUUUUUGGAGUAGUCAGUAUUUGUAGUUAUUCAAUACAUCCUUGGCUUUAAAACUUUAAAAAUUUUAUUCUGAAUAGUAUGCUAUACAGAGCCCGGUCAGGAAUAAAUUUUUGAGAAGUGUAGCAUAAAUUGAUAGCAAUAUUACUCUUAAUGCAGAAUAACUGAAAUUGAAACAAAAUUUGAUGUGUGGAGUAGAAAUUCCUUUUUUUCUAAAGUAAAUACUUUAUUAACACCAAUGAGACAUCAUUGUUAUUAUACAAGAAAGAAAAUAAAACAUUAUUUUAUGUAUAUAUUUUAUGUAAUCUAAGUCUGGGAAUGCAAGUUCAUGAGAUUCCCACAUAAACCUAUGGGUCAAUUUUUAGGGAAAUAUUUCUAUUUCUAUAUAAAGCUAUCUGAUACCAUGUUAAGCAAUAAAUUCAAAUCUCGUUUUACUGUUUAUAUUGAUGGCCACAAUUUCUCACUUAAAUAUAUAUUAAUAUUAAACUGUAUUACACAUAAUGAUAUCAGUAAUAUAAAAUAUAUAUAAACUGACCAAAUUAUAUUUGCUGUGUAAUUAUUUAUGCAUGUAAAAAAUUGCUUAUAUGUCUCUAUUUCUUCCCUCCUUUUACUUCUGGUAAGAGUAGAGUAUUUUUAAGAGCCAUGUAAUGCAGAUCAGGUAGAGCAGUUAAGAUGAAUUUUUGUGUUUGAAUUAUCACUUCAUCAUAAUGGAAAUACAGUCAUCUCUGUACUAUUGGUUAAACUUCAUUUUUUCUCAAUAACAACCACUUUCAUGUGAAGUAUUUUUAUUGUGAUAGGAUUCUUUAAGAUGAAAUUUCCAUAUUGGAAAUAUGAAAUGGUAGCAUAAAUGUAAACUUUGGUCCCUGAACUAAAAUUUCAGAAAGUGUUUUUUCUACUUCGUAAAUUACAUGGUGUAGAAGUACCAGAAAAGAAAAUAAUUUGUUGUGUCUUCUUUAGUCAAGUGGGUAAAUUUUCUCAGGGACACAAGAAUAUCUUUAAAUUUUUGAGUUGAACAUGAGAGACAACUUGACUGACAUUUUAGAUAAAGAAACAAUAAUUGUAAUGUCAAACUCAAUCAGUCACAUAUUAGUUAUAUAAUCCUGAAUGUUACCAGUGUGCUCUGUGUCUCAGUUUUUGUGGCGAUAAUAAAGACUACUUGAUGGGGUUCUUUGAAAUUGCUGAAAGAUAGUGUAUGCAAAGUGCCUAUAGCUCCUGAUAUAAUCAAUAAAUAUAGGAGUCAUCUCUGCACAUUAUUCAAUAUAAAAGUUUCUUGUAAGGCAAAAUGAAUGACUUAAAGUACUUUAAUGGAUUUAGCGCUAUUCCCAUCUAAUAUCUGACCAAAUCAUAAUUUAAUGAUUAAGUUCAUACUAAUGUAACUAUUUUGAACAGUUUCAAUAUAGUGAUGAAUAAAGAAGAAACAAUUGUUCCAAUCAUUGUGUUUAAUUGUGUUUUGUGGAAUCACCACUUUUUAUUGAUUAAUAACAUUUUUGAUAGAUUUCAUCUUUUCUUGUUCAACUGUAAUAAUCUAUAUGUUUACAAUGCUAAACUCAAAGUUGAUUUAAAUCUUAGUUUCUCCUCUCUUCCUAGGUGCAGACUUCAACCUUAGCUCCAGAAACAUGCACUGAACGUAGUGCCAUAAUUUACUCUACUCUUCCCUCUUUCCCAUUCCAGGAACUUGAUAUGGAAAGGCGUGUCUGGUGGGGUAUGCCUCUGAGGAUAAUAUACCCUGCCACAUAUGGGCUCUAUCUCAACCAUUCUCAAUGAUUGGAGCAGCAGACAUCUUUUAGUAAACAUUCUAGAAAUUCAUGGGUACUUUAAAAAAUCAGUUAUCACCAUUACUGGAGGGCACUAUGGGCAGUAGUCAAGGUUGGAAGAAAGCCUGACAUUUAUGAAAUACUUAGUCACAAUAAUUAUCCUGCAUAACUUCAUUGGGACUAUUUGAAACACAAAUACAUAUUAGUAGUACUUUAGCACAAAAUAGCAUUGAAAGUUUUACAAGAAUAUGAAUGAAAAUCCAGUACUUGAGGAGAAGAUUGUUGUGAAAUACAAGAGUUAAGUAUUAGAAAACCAUUCCUGAUUUUAUUGAAUAAAUUAUUAAUCCUGUAUAUUCUGUCUCUUCAAUGUGCAAUUGCAGUACUGACAUAUUGGCUCUGCAUCAAUCAUAUCACCUUUGUUUUAUAUUUUUCCUUUAUGAUUGGUGAUACAUUAUAGAUAUAGUCUAGUGUCCCUUGAUGUUUUGUUGAUAAUAUUUGUAAAGAACACCAUGUCCUACAAAGUGUUUUGAAAAUCUAUCAACUGUAGUGAACAAUAUUUACUACUUAUUUUCAAGAUUCUUUUUAUUUUGAAUAUUUAAUUUUUUCUAUAUGUUAUUCUUAUUGCAAUGAAAUAUAAGCUAAUUUCAAAGUCAU
rnacentral:lncRNA from 1 species